CUCCUUCCGCCCACUCACUUCCCUGCCGCAGCUCGGUCCCUGGAGCGCAGGCAGGCACCUGUCACACAAAGGCGGACUCCUCAGGUUAGGGGAAGGGGGCCACCCUGCGGGGCUUUAAAUGCCGCCCGGCUUCUCCUCGGAGGCCGAGGCGAUGUGUGGCCAUCCUGGGGAAGGCGGAGCAGCUGCCUCACCGAGUUCGGGGACCGCGGGACUGCCCGGGACAGGCGCGGGCUAAGAAGCGGUGGCGUCCGAGGUGACUGGGAGUCGUCGGCACCCAAAGCCCCCCAGGGCCGCCUGCCAGCCUCGCUGCGGGGAAAGCGGGGACUCGGGCUCGCGCCUCUGCCUGCCUGGACGUGGGUCUGCUCCCGGGGGCGCAGCAAGUCCGAACGCCUCGCUGAGACUUCCCUUGCCUCCAGGCGCCGGCAUCCGCGAGGGACACGCUCCCCCUCCGGACUUCCCCGAAGAGCAGCCCCGCAGCUCGGAGGAGGGCGGAGAAGGCGCCGCCCCCCACCGCCGGGCGCUCUCGGGAAACCCCGGGAAGGAUGCACGGACCCCGGGCGUCACGGAGAGGCACGUGAAUAGCUGAGAGCGCGAUUCCUAACUGGAGAUUUUAUUUAUUUGACAGAGCGUUGCACAUGUGCACUUGAGCAUGCCCUAGUGAGCCAGGGGCAGAGAAAGAAUCUUCAAGCAGACUCCUGGUUCUGGAGGCCAGAAGUCCAAAGGUAGCAGAAGAGCUGUGCUCCCUCUGAAGUCUCUGGAGUAGAAUUCUUCCUUGCUUCUUCCAGCAUCUGGGUAUAAUUUCACAAUGCAUUCCCUCAAUGGGAAAGGGCUGUUCAGGUGUGCUGGCCUCUGGGACCAUGGGGAGACUGCUCUCAUUGCCUGGCUUGCAAGAGGUAAGGGAACUGGGAACUGCAGGCAGCCCAUGUCUAUCUAUGGGGUGAUUCACUAAUCCAACCAAAGAACUUGAACUUCCUGGAGUGAUGAGCCUAGCACAGUUUCAGGCACACAAAAAUAACAAUAGUCACAUGCCUCUUGACCAAGUGACCUGAACCAGGAGGUUUUGAAAGCCACACACCCACGCACUCUAGGGCAGCAGGAGUUCACAUCAACAACGAGAACAUCAACUGUCUGAGAGCCAUUGCCAGAGUAAAGGUUCCUAAGUGUGCACACACCUGUCCUGAUGCACACACCCAGAACACCUGGGCUCUGCAUGUCCCAUUACACACCAAGCACAAUCUUCUGGGUGGCCCUCAUUUUGCAUGAGUCCCUAAGUUGACGUUUCCUUCACUGUGAAAGAUUCUCCACAUCCCUUUCUUUUUCUUUUUCCUUGACUUCUUCCUGCUUUGCAGAAGAGGCAGGGGACAACUAUAAAUUUAUUCCAAAGUCAGAGGACAAGAGGCUGCCAUGAUGCUGUAACAGCACUGAGUUAGAGAAUCUAAUCUGCUAGAAGGAAAGUUAGAGCAUAUGGAGCUCAGUCUGUUUGUUUCAACAGAGAGGACCGUAGGCUGGAGAGAGGAAAAGAUUUUCCCAUUGCUCCGGCUGGGCAGUGGCUGAGCCUCAAUUUGAUGAUAUGGGUGGGAUGGGCAGAGAAAGUAUGAGUUUAGUCUACCUAAAGGAUUUAGUGAGCUCAGGGGGCUCAGUGAUCUGUAUUGCCUGUGUGUGAUAAGAGAUUGAUCAGGGGACCUGAGUGGCUCAGUUAAGCGGCUGCUUUUGGCUCAAGUGAUGAACCCGGACUCCCAAGAUGGAGUCCCCCUGUUUGGCUCUCUGCUUGGUAGGUAGUCUGCUUCUCCUUCUGCCCCUCCCCUGAUCAUUCUCCCUUUCUCAAAUAAAUAAAUAAAAUCUUUUUUUUAAAAGAGAUUGAUCAGAUAACUACUGAACACCUGGUUUGUACAAGGCACAGAUUAAAAAGAAUAUAUUUUGGGGGGUGUUCGGGUGGCUCGGUUAAGUCAGUUAAGCAUCAAACUUUCGAUAUUGGCUCAGGUCUUGAUCUCAGGGUCAUGAGUUCAAGCCCCUCAUUGGGCUCCACACUGGGUAUAGAGAAUACUUUUUUAAAAAAAGAUAAUAUAUUUUUAAAUCUUAAAAUAACCCUUCCUCUCGAAGUAAUUACAAUCUAACAGUGAAAAUAAAUGAAUAAGUAAAACGUUUAUAAUAUUUUUUUUCAUUUGUAAUAAUUCUUAAGAACAGUACAGGAGGUUCUCUAGAUAGAACAUGCUUAUCAGCUGAGAGGCAAAACAUUGAAUGCUAUGACAUCAGGAACUGAUACUUCAGUAAGCAAAAGAACCAGAGUUGGGGGCCUGGGGAGGAUCAUAGGGCCUAAAGAAAGAGCUGGGAGGGCAGCUCCGAUGGCUCAGUGGUUUAGCGCCGCCUUCAGCCUAGGGUCUGAUCCUGGAGACCUGGGAUCGAGUCCCAUAUUGGGCUCCCUGCAUGGAGCCUGCUUCUCCCUCUGCCUGAGUCUCUGCCUCUGUGUGUGUGUGUGUGUGUGUGUGUGUGUGUGUGUGUGUCUUUCAUGAAUAAAUAAAUAAAAUCUUAAAAAAAAAAAGAAAAGAAAAGAAA